rnacentral:rRNA from 1 species
GAUGAACGCUGGCGGCGUGCCUAAUACAUGCAAGUCGAGCGAACGGACGAGAAGCUUGCUUCUCUGAUGUUAGCGGCGGACGGGUGAGUAACACGUGGAUAACCUACCUAUAAGACUGGGAUAACUUCGGGAAACCGGAGCUAAUACCGGAUAAUAUUUUGAACCGCAUGGUUCAAAAGUGAAAGACGGUCUUGCUGUCACUUAUAGAUGGAUCCGCGCUGCAUUAGCUAGUUGGUAAGGUAACGGCUUACCAAGGCAACGAUGCAUAGCCGACCUGAGAGGGUGAUAGGCCACACUGGAACUGAGACACGGUCCAGACUCCUAAGGGAGGCAGCAGUAGGGAAUCUUCCGCAAUGGGCGAAAGCCUGACGGAGCAACGCCGAGUGAGUGAUGAAGGUCUUCGGAUCGUAAAACUCUGUUAUUAGGGAAGAACAUAUGUGUAAGUAACUGUGCACAUCUUGACGGUACCUAAUCAGAAAGCCACGGCUAACUACGUG